CCUACGGGUGGCAGCAGUCGAGAAUCAUUCACAAUGGGGGAAACCCUGAUGGUGCGACGCCGCGUGGGGGAAUGAAGGUCUUCGGAUUGUAAACCCCUGGCAUGUGGGAGCAAAUUAAAAAGAUAGUACCACAACAGGAAGAGACGGCUAACUCUGUGCCAGCAGCCGCGGUAAUACAGAGGUCUCAAGCGUUGUUCGGAAUCACUGGGCGUAAAGGGUGCGUAGGCUGUUUCGUAAGUCGUGUGUGAAAGGCGCGGGCUCAACCCGCGGACGGCACAUGAUACUGCGAGACUAGAGUAAUGGAGGGGGAACCGGAAUUCUCGGUGUAGCAGUGAAAUGCGUAGAUAUCGAGAGGAACACUCGUGGCGAAGGCGGGUUCCUGGACAUUAACUGACGCUGAGGCACGAAGGCCAGGGGAGCGAAAGGGAUUAGAUACCCGAGUAGUC
rnacentral:rRNA from 1 species